rnacentral:rRNA from 1 species
AUUGAACGCUGGCGGCAGGCCUAACACAUGCAAGUCGAACGGUAACAGGAAGCAGCUUGCUGCUUCGCUGACGAGUGGCGGACGGGUGAGUAAUGUCUGGGAAGCUGCCUGAUGGAGGGGGAUAACUACUGGAAACGGUAGCUAAUACCGCAUAAUGUCGCAAGACCAAAGAGGGGGACCUUCGGGCCUCUUGCCAUCUGAUGUGCCCAGAUGGGAUUAGCUUGUUGGUGGGGUAACGGCUCACCAAGGCGACGAUCCCUAGCUGGUCUGAGAGGAUGACCAGCGACACUGGAACUGAGACACGGUCCAGACUCCUACGGGAGGCAGCAGUGGGGAAUAUUGCACAAUGGGCGCAAGCCUGAUGCAGCCAUGCCGCGUGUAUGAAGAAGGCCUUCGGGUUGUAAAGUACUUUCAGCGGGGAGGAAGGGAGUAAAGUUAAUACCUUUGCUCAUUGACGUUACCCGCAGAAGAAGCACCGGCUAACUCCGUG